UAUCAAAUCAAAUAAUCAAAAAACACGACACAGCGCACGAGCGCUUAUAAUCUCAUAGCUCGCGUGAGAAUUCGUAUAUACGUCACGUUAUCCCUAUAAGCUCAUCGAAUUAACUGGUUCAAUCAAGGUUCUGUAAAACUUCACAAUCACUGCUCCUAGGAAUUAUUAAUCUGAUCUUGCGAACAUUCUCUCAUCGAAAGUCAGCACUGUAUACUCAUGGAAGAAUUUGCAAGUUUAGCAGGUACACAUAAUGAAUUGUAAUCGUUAUAUUACUAGUCGUGUCUUACUUGAUGCGCUGCACUUCAGGUGAUCGCAAAAUUAUUGACGAAAACUAUGCCUAUGGAUCGG